UUGAGCUAAAACCAAGAGUUGGAUGCUUAAUGGACUGAGCCACCCAGGCACCCCCAAAAAGGUGUUCUUUAAUCAGAGUUUCAUAGUGGUGAUUCAGAGACCCAGCCUCCUUGUACCCUGUCGCUCUGCCAUGUGGCUCUGCCAUCCUCUCUGUGUGGCUUCCAAAGUGGUUUCGUUUGUUGCAUGAGGACAGUGGAUGUGGAAAGAGCACAGAUUACUGUGCACAGAAGUUCCACGGACCAGACCUAUGAGUGGUACACAUCCCUUAUAAUCCCCUUGUUAGAGUUCAGUGUUGUAGCUAUAUAGCUCCAAGGGAACUGGAUGUGAGAGGUCCAAGUGUGUGUCUAGGAAAGACUAGGAAUGUGGCCAGCGGUCUUGACCCCAAGAUGGCUUUGCUGCACCUCUAUGUUGAAAAGCACAACUAAUUUGGCAGCAUUAGAGUGUCCUGUGAGAGGGGAUGUGUUAUUUGGGGUAUAGCCUCAGCAAAAUGGCCUGAAAGUUCUGGCUAGAGUAUUUUGUGGAGCAAAAUAGGAGCAGGUUUCUGAAGGACAGAGAAGUAAAGGCGUGGUCAGGAGAGAGAGCUUCAGCACUGUUCACAUGUCUGGGGUCCUUCUCCCUUCUGUAAACUUAUGUGUCUCAUAGGUUGGCUUUUGGUGAAAUCUCUGCACCUGACCCAGAGUCUCAGCAGGGCACCGGGCACAUCUUCUUCACAGCUUUGUCGUGGACUGUGGACAGGGGUGGAAGGCCACUGGGCCUUGGGCUCCCAUUUUUCGACCCAAUGUUCACUUGGCCUGCAGGAUCAAACACAUAAGACUCAGCAGUCAGCAGGUUAGAGAAGAGGGUGGAAGAGAGACAGAGAAGCUGACCAUUGGGGCAAAAGCAGAACACUUUUCUUUUCUCUUGAUCUCUACUCUUUCCCUCAUUUCCCUUCACUGAAUGUAACUUUUCCCUCUAAGAGGGUAUUUGUGCAGACAUCCUCCCUCCUGGGUCCCCUCCAUCAUCCAUGUUAUGUAAAAUGUCAUUGAGGAACAUGCUCUCCAGAAGCUCCAUGGGGAGAAGAGUCACAGGGCCGCCCUCCAGGACAGAUAUGAAGGAGGUGACAUUAUUGGGUACCUUUGCCUUUCAUUUUGUGUUUUUCCAGCAGGUGCCCUUCCUGAGCUUACUUCUAGCUCUCUUGGUUGGAAAAAUACCUGAUAAAGGAAUCUCUAUAAGAUCUUCACUUUUGUGUGGGGUGCUGAGGUUUUUAGCGAGCCCUGUCUUGUCAGUACUGCAAGGCUUCAAUCAAAUAGCACUUGAACUCUUUUCAAAGACUUGCAAGAUUGAAAAGAUUCCAGCCUGUUGAACAGAGAGUAAUAGGUGUCAAACACCCUCUCCAUUUCUGAAAAUCUCUCCUCUUUCCUUGCUGGACGGGCGAAAGAGAAGAGACAACAGAAGAUGACUUUGGACAAUUUAAGAAGGGAAAUUUAUCAGGAACUCAGCACAUCAACUGGAAAGCUGAGACUCAGGCUUGCAUUGCCAUGUCACAUGAAGCUGCUUCUCCCGAUGAAGCAGAGAUUGAAAUGUCACACCAGCACGAUCAAUUAGAUGAUGUAGAAGAGAGGCAUUUGCUACCUGACCUUAAUCCACAGGGCAAGAAGGGCUGAGUGGAGAAGACUAAAUACAGAGAGACUCAAAGGAAGAGGAAAUGGGCAGAGCAUAGUUUAAAUAGGCACAAAGCAGCAUAAAUGUUGAUUCAUGACGAAAAGGACAUCCUCAGGUUAAAGACUUCUUAUGAUGUAUACUGGUUCACUCACUCGUUCAACUCGGAGUGAGUACAAAGUAAAUAUAAACACCUUUCACACAAGGAAUAUGACAGAAAAGGAAGUAGGAUCCAUUUGGUUGCUUCCGAGUUCAAUUGUGAGAUAUCUAUUUAUCACAGCAGUGGAAAACCAGCAGGAGGUUCAGAGGAAAGCCAUGGAAACAGGAGGACCAGGAAAAUGAAAUGCAAACAAGUAUCCUGGGGAGUUUUGCAGCUGAUGAACCAGUGAUGAACCAAUCAUGAUGCAGGAUACUUCAUAAGUCACCAAACCUCCCUUGGCAGUUUAACAUCUUUUGUUCUAGAAGGUUGUUUCACAGCUGUACCUGAACAUUGGCUCCACUGAAGGAAGAGAGUUGAAAGGGAAUUUGAAUUUCAAAGCCGAGUAGCAGAAGCAACAGUGUUGCCAUAAUCUGCAGGCUCUUACUUGAACACAGAAAAGCAGGAUGCCUCCUCAGAGAUAAACUGCCUUAAGAAAGGAGACUGUUCCACGGAUGUUAUCAAAGCUUAAUGAACUAAAUAUUGUCCUUCUCUCCAGGUAUGGGUUUUGGCACUAUUUCCAUUUCCAAUGGAGUUGAAGUUAUUCAUAGAACAUUACCUUUUAUAAAAUCCUAACAAGCAAAUCCCCACCAAAUCCCUAAAAUGGAAAAAUUCAAACCCAGUCCAUCUGGCUCUCACGCUGUCUUAGCCCUCCCCCCACCUCCCGAUAAUGGUUCCCCAGGGCAGUAAGGGUGGGCAGGCGGGCAGUGUGAGGACCUGUGCUGCUCACAUGUGGUUUCCGCAGGAAAAGAGGUCGCACUUUGCUUAUGAGGAAGCUCUACUGCUGGUCCUGCAGGCAGUUUGCCAUCCCAAACCCAACCAGCCAACCAAACAACGCCCCCACCCCAAGAAUUUGUACCUUAAAGGAAAUAGAACUUGAGGUAAAUGAGAAAAAAAAUAGAGAAAACAUCUAUUCAAAGCAUCUGAUGCCUUAGUGAGCAGAAGAAUGACACCUUCCUGGAAUUAAAGUAAUUGAAGCUGUCUUUUAACAUGUGAAUUGUCUAUCUCUGCUUGCUUCCUCUUAGCUUUACCGGGCACUCCAGAAAACUCACAGCGUUCCCUCCCUCCGGCUUUUAAUCGCGCUGUUCCCAGGCCACAGCCCUCUCUGUAGCUGUCCAGGAAUCCUAAUGGUUCAAGGUCUUGCUGGACUUUCUAUUCCUCCUGAGACUUCCCUUCUUCCUGCUGCCUUUUCAUUAUUCUACAAUUUUUUUUCAGUUACAUUUUUAACUAUGUAGGAGCAAAGACCAUGUCUUGUAGUUUUAAAAGGCCACCUCUCUUACAGUGCCUGGUUAUAGUUCUGGGCACACAGUAGAUGUAAAUUGAAUACAUUUUAUCUGAUGUUUCGAAGACCUACCUUUUACUUGACCAGAAAAUAAGAAAAUUUUGCCAAGUCUGUUAUC